UAGGGAAUCUUCCGCAAUGGGCGAAAGCCUGACGGAGCAACGCCGCGUGAGUGAUGAAGGUCUUCGGAUCGUAAAACUCUGUUAUUAGGGAAGAACAAAUGUGUAAGUAACUAUGCACGUCUUGACGGUACCUAAUCAGAAAGCCACGGCUAACUACGUGCCAGCAGCCGCGGUAAUACGUAGGUGGCAAGCGUUAUCCGGAAUUAUUUGGCGUAAAGCGCGCGUAGGCGGUUUUUUAAGUCUGGUGUGAAAGCCCACGGCUCAACCGUGGAGGGUCAUUGGAAGCUGGAAAACUUGGGUGCAGAAGAGGAAAGUGGAAUUCCAUGUGUAGCGGUGAAAUGCGCAGAGAUAUGGAGGAACACCAGUGGCGAAGGCGACUUUCUGGUCUGUAACUGACGCUGAUGAGCGAAAGCGUGGGGAUCAAACAGG
rnacentral:rRNA from 1 species